GUUAGUACCGAAGUCUGGGAUGGAAGAUGGCGAGAAAAGCUGUGUGGAUUUCUGAGGUGCCCGUACCGCAAACCGACACAGGUAGGUAGGAAGAAGAUUCUAAGGCCAACGGGAGAAGGGUUGUUAAGGAACUCGGCAAAUUGACCCCGUAACUUCGGGAGAAGGGGUGCUCCAGAGAUGGAGCCGCAGAGAAUCGGCCCAAGCAACUGUUUACCAAAAACACAGGUUUGUGCUAAAUCGAAAGAUGACGUAUACGAGCUGACGCCUGCCCGGUGCUGGAAGGUUAAGAGGAGAUGUGCAAGCAUUGAAUCGAAGCCCCAGUGAACGGCGGCCGUAACUAUAACGGUCCUAAGGUAGCGAAAUUCCUUGUCAGGUAAGUUCUGACCCGCAUGAAAGGCGUAAUGAUUUGGGCACUGUCUCAACAGCCCGCCCGGCGAAAUUGUAGUACCGGUGAAGAUGCCGGUUACCCGCGACAAGACGGAAAGACCCCAUGGAGCUUUACUGUAGCCUAAUAUUGGGUUUCGAUGUUGCAUGCACAGGAUAGAUGGGACUCUGGGAAACCAGUGCUUUGGCGCUGGCGGAGAGGCCGUUGGGAUACCAUCCUUGCGAUAUUGGAAUUCUAACCUGCGGCUCUGAAUCGAGUCGGGGGACAUUGUUAGGUGGGCAGUUUGACUGGGGCGGUCGCCUCCUAAAAAGUAACGGAGGCGUUCAAAGGUUCGCUCAGCUUGAACGGAAAUCAAGCAAAAGAGUGCAAACGCAGAAGCGAGCCUAACUGCGAGACUGACGGGUCGAGCAGUAACGAAAGUUGGAGUUAGUGAUCCGGUGGUAUGUGAGUGGAAAUGCCAUCGCUCAACGGAUAAAAGUUACCCUGGGGAUAACAGGCUGAUCUCCCCCAAGAGUCCACAUCGACGGGGAGGUUUGGCACCUCGAUGUCGGCUCAUCGCAUCCUGGGGCUGUAUUCGGUCCCAAGGGUUUGGCUGUUCGCCAAUUAAAGCGGUACGCGAGCUGGGUUCAGAACGUCGUGAGACAGUUCGGUCCCUAUCUGUCGUGGGCGCAGGAUAUUUGAUGGGAGCUGUCCCUAGUACGAGAGGACCGGGACGGACGUACCUCUGGCGCACCAGUUGUUCUGCCAAGAGCAUAGCUGGGCAACUACGUACGGAUCGGAUAAACGCUGAAAGCAUCUAAGCGUGAAGCCGACCCAAAGAUAAGAUAUCCCACUGUUUCAAACAGGUAAGAUCCCUUGAAGACUACAAGGUUGAUAGGCACGAUGUGUAAGUGGAGUGAUCCAUUCAGCAAGCGUGUACUAAUAGAUCGAGGGCUUGACC
rnacentral:rRNA from 1 species